UACGUAGGUGGCGAGCGUUGUCCGGAAUUACUGGGCGUAAAGGGUGCGUAGGCGGUUUUUUAAGUGGGAUGUGAAAUCCCUGGGCUCAACUCAGGAAUUGCAUUCCAAACUGGAAGACUAGAGUGCAGGAGAGGAAAGUGGAAUUCCCAGUGUAGCGGUGAAAUGCGUAGAGAUUGGGAGGAACACCAGUGGCGAAGGCGACUUUCUGGACUGUAACUGACGCUGAUGCACGAAAGCGUGGGGAGCAAACAGGAUUAGAUACC
rnacentral:rRNA from 1 species